CAUAAACAAGAAGCCGACGUCAGACAAAGCUUAAGCUUCCUAGGAUGAAAAUCAACAUGAUUUGUACUCCGGCAAUGACAUGGCACUCAGAAGAAAGCUGGCUGAAGUGAAUGUGGAGAAGAACAAUGGAACAAGAGAGAUUCCAGCUGGGUUGGAUUAGCUGGGCAUCAGCAGGGGCAUUAGCCAAAGACAGAGGCAGAUCAUGAGAUGUAUGGAUAUUGUCCUAAGUAAGAACUAACCUGGCAAUGUUGGAAUGAAAUUUACAGGUAGAAGGGAAUCAAGCGUUGAAGCGAGAGAGAUCGUCACCUGAAAAGGCCAUGUGCCCUGUUGGCUGUUGCGAAUAUGAAUGUAAACAAAAUGAAAGAAAGUCCAGCUAUAGGCUUUUUAAAAGCGGUGAGUGCUGACUAAUCAUAAAUGUAUAUGUAAGCGACUUACAUCAUUCAGAUAACAUCUCUUAAAUCAGCUGUCAGUUUAUUGUAAAUUGAGCUAGAAUUAAAACAGUUCGAAUUGCCCCAGACGGCUAUCAGAAACCAUCUUCAGACCAUGUAGUAUGCACAUUGAUGCAUGCAUUAUAAAACUAACCUGUCUGAUUAAAAGGACAAUCAUUUCAUUUGAUUGUACUGACAGAUUAAGGAAAUAAACAUUUGAACCAUGAGUCCAUGACUAAUAAAUUCUCUGUCAUCCACUGGUAUGUCCAUAUCAAAAAAAAAUAUAUAUAUAUAUACAUAAUCUGUCAGACCUUCACUGUGGUCCUCCCCUUGUAUAUGAUAUAGUUACGUCUGAUUUUGGUGGAAAAAAAUAAAUAACCAUUCUUUGAUCAUAUUUAUACAUAUAUUC